AAUCUUUCCUUCACUUUUCAGGUAUGAAAAGUGAGAAAUUUGUAUCGGUUGGCUAGCGUUCCUUCGUCUUCUCCUUCGACUGGUACUGUUGUUAAAUGGCAGAAACCAGUAGCUGGUUUUCCAAAGCUUAAUGUGGACGCAACUACAAAUGCUGGUCCCCAUUGUUUUGGAGUUGUUACGGUGGUGCGAGACUCUUUUGGUUUUGUUGCUGGUGCUUGUCCUCGUCUGGUUGGUCAUUACUCUCCUGCUGAUCACGGGUAUUCGAAAGGCUUUGAGUUGGGUGAAGAGUAAAAGGUGGUCCCAAGUUGUGAUUGAAUCAGAUACAUUGACUGCUAUUUCGGCUAUCAAUAGCCCAGUUGUGAUCGAAUGGUGUAGCUAAUUCUUGCACAAGCUACCCAUUCUAUGUCAGGCUGGGGGGAAUGGCUAGAUUUACCUCCUCCAUUCAUUGUUAAUGCUCUUGUAUUUUG
rnacentral:misc_RNA from 1 species